rnacentral:rRNA from 1 species
GAUGAACGCUGGCGGCGUGCCUAAUACAUGCAAGUCGAGCGAACAGACGAGGAGCUUGCUCCUCUGACGUUAGCGGCGGACGGGUGAGUAACACGUGGAUAACCUACCUAUAAGACUGGGAUAACUUCGGGAAACCGGAGCUAAUACCGGAUAAUAUAUUGAACCGCAUGGUUCAAUAGUGAAAGACGGUUUUGCUGUCACUUAUAGAUGGUUCCGCGCCGCAUUGGCUAGUUGGUAAGGUAACGGCUUACCAAGGCAACGAUGCGUGGCCGACCUGAGGGGGUGAUCGGCCACACUGGAACGGGAACACGGUCCAGACUCCUACGGGAGGCAGCAGUAGGGAAUCUUCCGCAAUGGGCGAAAGCCUGACGGAGCAACGCCGCGUGAGUGAUGAAGGUCUUCGGAUCGUAAAACUCUGUUAUUAGGGAAGAACAAAUGUGUAAGUAACUAUGCACGUCUUGACGGUACCUAAUCAGAAAGCCACGGCUAACUACGUG